AUUGAACGCUGGCGGCAGGCUUAACACAUGCAAGUCGAGCGAGCGGCGGACGGGUGAGUAAUGUCUGGGAAACUGCAUGAUGGAGGGGGAUAACUACUGGAAACGGUAGCUAAUACCGCAUACAAUCAGAAGGGCCAAGAUGGGAUUAGCUAGUAGGUGGGGUAAUGGCUCACCUAGGCGACGUACCCGGGCUGGUCUGAGAGGAUGACCAGCCACACUGGAUCUGAGACACGUUCCCGACUCCUACGGGAGGCAGCAGUGGGGAAUAUUGCACAAUGGGCGCAAGCCUGAUGCAGCCAUGCCGCGUGUAUGAAGAAGGCCUUCGGGUUGUAAAGUACUUUCAGCGGGGAGGCGUUACCCGCAGAAGAAGCACCGGCUAACUCCGUGCCAGCAGCCGCGGUAAUAC
rnacentral:rRNA from 1 species